UGUGUCUUGUGAAUAUCAAAUUUUGGAUUUUGAAUUUCGGUCAUAACUUGAGGGCUUUGGGAAAUGCCCUCAAAUUAGAUAUUCAUUUAUUGAAUAACAAAUUGACUAUAAUGUUUAUGUGAUAAACGUUACCACAUAUAUUAGGUUUGGCAGGAUAAACCUAAAUCCUCCUGGCGCCCACAUUUAUGUAUUUUUAGUUAAUUAUAAUACUUAGUCUAAUAUAUUUUAGUUAUUGUAUUUUGCUAGUUUAUAAAUAUCCUAAUAUAUG